rnacentral:piRNA from 1 species
AGGAUGACUAGCACAGAAGACUGAU